UACGUAGGGUGCGAGCGUUAAUCGGAUUUACUGGGCGUAAAGCGUGCGCAGGCGGUCCGUUAAGACAGAUGUGAAAUCCCUGGGCUCAACCUAGGAAUUGCGCUUGGGACUGGCGGGCUAGAGUGCGGGAGAGGGGAGCGGAAUUCCUGGUGUAGCAGUGAAAUGCGUAGAGAUCAGGAGGAACACCGAUGGCGAAGGCAGCUACCUGGGCUGGUACUGACGCUGAUGCACGAAAGCGUGGGGAGCAAACAGG
rnacentral:rRNA from 1 species